rnacentral:rRNA from 1 species
CGCAGCCCGAGUGGUGGUCAUUAUUAUUGAGCCUAAAGCGUCCGUAGCCGGACUCGUAAAUCCUUGGGUAAAUCGGGCAGCUUAACUGUCCGAAUUCCGAGGAGACUGCGAGUCUUGGGACCGGGAGAGGUCAGAGGUACUCCAGGGGUAAGGGCUAAAUCUUGUAAUCCUUGGGGGACCACCAGUGGCGAAGGCGUCUGACUAGAACGGAUCCGACGGUAAGGGACGAAACCCUGGGGCGCAAACGG